rfam:Asian citrus Psyllid, Diaphorina citri - Florida Strain, whole genome shotgun sequence.
GCCUAGUUAGCUUAGUUGGUAGCGCGUCUGCCUUGUAAGCGCGAAGCCGCGGGUUCGAUUCCCUCAUGAGGCG